rnacentral:rRNA from 1 species
CCAGGAAUCUUGGGCAAUGGGCGAAAGCCUGACCCAGCAACACCGUGUGGGUGACGAAGGCCUUAGGGUCGUAAAGCCCUGUUGAUAGGGACGAAGGGCGAAGGGUUAAUAGCCCCUAGCUUGACGGUACCUUUCGAGGAAGCCCCGGCUAACUACGUGCCAGCAGCCGCGGUAAUACGUAGGGGGCGAGCGUUGUCCGGAAUUAUUGGGCGUAAAGAGCGUGUAGGCGGUUCGGUAAGUCUGCUGUGAAAUCCUGGGGCUCAACCCUGGGCGUGCAGCGGAUACUGCCGGGCUAGAGGGUGGUAGAGGCGAGUGGAAUUCCGAGUGUAGCGGUGAAAUGCGCAGAUAUUCGGAGGAACACCAGUAGCGAAGGCGGCUCGCUGGGCCACACCUGACGCUGAGACGCGAAAGCGUGGGGAGCGAACAGG